rnacentral:rRNA from 1 species
AUUCCAGCUCCAAUAGCGUAUAUUUAAGUUGUUGCAGUUAAAAAGCUCGUAGUUGGAUUUCGGUUAAGAGCGACCGGUCCGCCGUUUGGUGUGCACUGGUUGGUUUUAACUUCCUGUAGAGGACGUGCUCUGGGCUUAACGGUCUGGACUCGGAGUCUACGUGGUUACUUUGAAAAAAUUAGAGUGUUCAAAGCGGGCUUACGCUUGAAUAUUUCAGCAUGGAAUAACACUAUAGGACUCCUGUCCUAUUUCGUUGGUCUCGGGACGGGAGUAAUGAUUAAGAGGAACAGUUGGGGGCAUUCGUAUUUCAUUGUCAGAGGUGAAACUCUCAGACCAGCGGAAGACGAACCACUGCGAAAGCAUUUGCCAGGGAUGUUUUCAUCA